GAUGAACGCUGGCGGCGUGCCUAAUACAUGCAAGUCGAGCGAACAGAUGAGGAGCUUGCUCCUCUGACGUUAGCGGCGGACGGGUGAGUAACACGUGGAUAACCUACCUAUAAGACUGGGAUAACUUCGGGAAACCGGAGCUAAUACCGGAUAAUAUAUUGAACCGCAUGGUUCAAAAGUGAAAGACGGUCUUGCUGUCACUUAUAGAUGGAUCCGCGCUGCAUUAGCUAGUUGGUAAGGUAACGGCUUACCAAGGCAACGAUGCAUAGCCGACCUGAGAGGGUGAUCGGCCACACUGGAACUGAGACACGGUCCAGACUCCUACGGGAGGCAGCAGUAGGGAAUCUUCCGCAAUGGGCGAAAGCCUGACGGAGCAACGCCGCGUGAGUGAUGAAGGUCUUCGGAUCGUAAAACUCUGUUAUUAGGGAAGAACAUAUGUGUAAGUAACUGUGCACAUCUUGACGGUACCUAAUCAGAAAGCCACGGCUAACUACGUG
rnacentral:rRNA from 1 species